GCAGCUGCCUUCCGCUUCUUUGACACCCUCGGCGUUGCCACCAUCGGAGAGUGCCACAUCCCUGACAGCAUGGCCCAGGCGCUUUUCUUCCCUAAGCUUAACAAGCUCGGGCUUGAAAAUGUCACCAUAUCCGAAUCCUCACUACAAACCAUGAUUGAUGGUUGCCCCGCUCUAGAGUGCUUGCUGAUUCGCCGCUGCUCUGGCUUCCGUUGUGUCCGAAUCAACUCCAUCAGCCUUAGAGGCAUAGGUGUGGAAGCUUAUCGGGGAGAGCUCAUCAUAUUAGAGGAAGUCAUCAUCGAGAAUGCCCCUUGUCUUGAAAGGUUGCUCCUAUUUGGCUCAGCUGAAUCCCGACAUAUAUCGGUAAUCUCCGCACCUAAAUUGGAGACCCUAGGCUGCCUAUCUUCCCAUUUAUCUGAUUUUUGUCAACAUGAUUUUAGUACCACACUCACGCUAUACUCGACAGUUAUUCAGGGAUUGCGUGUUGAUAGCUUGACGAAGACGGUGCGCACUGUCAAGAUUUUAUCUGUUCGUAUGAUUGCUCUUAGUUUGGAUGUUGUUAUUGACUUGAUGAGAUGCUUUCCUUGCUUGGAAAGGCUGUACGUUGAGUCAAUUCAGCCAGGGAAAAAGAAUUUGUGGCGCCGUAAACACCAGAAUCUAAUAAGAUCUCUUGACAUCCGUCUGAAGACAAUUGACUGGCGAUAUUAUGUGGGCACCAAGUCAGAUGUUGACUUUGCCACAUUCUUUUUACUAAACGCGAGAGUGCUAGAGUUAAUGACUCUUCAGGUUUAUCAUAGUAAUUUCAAAGAGGAGUUUUUUACACGGCAACAUGAGAAGCUUCAACUGGAUAAGAAGGCCUCAGGAGGUGCUCGGCUUCAUUUUACAACGGAUAAUUUUCAUGGCAGUUUUACGGAUUUCUGUGUCCGUGAUUUGGAUCUAGCUGAUCCCUUUGAAAGG
rnacentral:rRNA from 1 species